rnacentral:rRNA from 1 species
UACAGAGGGUGCAAGCGUUAUUCGGAGUUAUUGGGCGUAAAGAGCGCGUAGGUGGCUCGAUAAGUUUGAUGUGAAAUCCCUGGACUCAAUCCAGGAAGUGCAUUGAAUACUGUCGGGCUAGAGUACAGGAGAGGUAGGCGGAAUUCCAGGUGUAGAGGUGAAAUUCGUAGAUAUCUGGAGGAACAACAGUGGCGAAGGCGGCCUGCUGGACUGUAACUGACACUGAGGCGCGAAAGCGUGGGGAGCAAACAGG